UACGGAGAAUCCAAGCGUUAUCCGGAUUCACUGGGUUUAAAGGGUGCGUAGGUGGGCAGGUAAGUCAGUGGUGAAAUCUCCGAGCUUAACUCGGAAACUGCCGUUGAUACUAUUUGUCUUGAAUAUUGUGGAGGUAAGCGGAAUAUGUCAUGUAGCGGUGAAAUGCUUAGAUAUGACAUAGAACACCAAUUGCGAAGGCAGCUUACUACACAACGAUUGACGCUGAGGCACGAAAGCGUGGGGAUCAAACAGG
rnacentral:rRNA from 1 species